rnacentral:rRNA from 1 species
GCGUGAGAGCGCGACCCCCCACAAUGGAACUGAAACACGGUCCAUACUCCUACGGGAGGCAGCAGUUGAGGAAUAUUGCGCAAUGGGGGCAACCCUGACGCAGCAACGCCCGCGUGGACGAUGAAGGCCUUCGGGUUGUAAAGUCCUUUUCUGAAGGAAGAUAGUGACGGUACUUCAGGAAUAAGUCCCGGCUAACUACGUGCCAGCAGCCGCGGUAAAACGGUANGGGGCGAGCGUUAUCCGGAUUUACUGGGCGUAAAGCGCACGUAGGCGGCAUCGUAAGUUGGACGUGAAAGCUCCCCGGCUCAACUGGGAGAGGUCGUUCAAAACUGUGGUGCUUGAGGUUGAUAGAGGAGAGUGGAAUUCCCGGUGUAGUGGUGGAAUGCGUAGAUAUCGGGAGGAACACCAGUGGCGAAGGCGGGCUCUCUAGGUCACAACCUGACGCUUAGGUGCGAAAGCGUGGGGAGCGAACGGGAUUAGAUACGCCGGUAGUCCACGCUGUAAACGAUGGAUACUAGGUGUGGGACGUUAUUUACCCCUUCUGUGUGCCGUAGCUAACGUGUUAAGUAUCCCGCCUGGGGAUUACUGUCCGCAAGGUUUUUACUCUAUGGUAUUGACGGGGGCCCGCACAAGCAGUCUGGAGCGUGUGGUUUAAUUCGAUGAUACGCGAAGAACCUUACCUGGGCUUGACAUGGUGGUAGUAGUGAAGCGAAAGCGGAACGACCAUUCGGGGAGCCAUCACAGGUGCUGCAUGGCUGUCGUCAGCUCGUGUCGUGAGAUGUUGGGUUAAGUCCCGCAACGAGCGCAACCCUCGUCGCUAGUUAUAUGUGUCUAGUGAGACUGCCGGUAUCAAACCGGAGGAAGGUGGGGAUGACGUCAAGUCAGCAUGGUCUUUAUGUCCAGGACUACACACACGCUACAAUGGCCGGUACAAUGGGUUGCCAUACCGCGAGGUGGAGCUAAUCCUCAAAGCCGGUCUCAGUUCGGAUUGCAGUCUGCAACUCGACUGCAUGAAGGUGGAGUUGCUAGUAACCGCGCGUCAGCAAUAGUGCGGUGAUGCGUUCCCGGGCCACUGACACACCGCCCGUCACAUCAUGGGAGUCGGCAACACACUGAAGUCGGUG